rnacentral:rRNA from 1 species
AGGAUGAACGCUGGCGGCGUGCCUAACACAUGCAAGUCGAACGUCCUGUCUCGCAAGAGGCAGGGAGUGGCGGACGGGUGAGUACCACGUGGGUCAUCUACCGUGAGGUGAGGAAUACCGGCGAGAAAUCGCCGACAAGACCGCAUAGCCUCGGUGCAAGUCGAGGAAAGCUCUCUCGAGAGAGGGAGCGCCACACGAGGAGCCUGCGCCCGAUUAGCUAGCUGGUGGAGUAAUGGUUCACCAGGGCGACGAUCGGUAGCUGGUCUGAGAGGACGAUCAGCCACACUGGGAUUGAGAACGGCCCAGACUCCUACGGGGGCAGCAGUGAGGAAUUUUCGUCAAUGGGGGCAACCCUGAACGAGCAACGCCGCGUGCAGGAAGAAGGUUUCGGAUCGUAAACUGCUUUUCUCGGGAAGAGAACGGACGGUACCCGAGGAAUCAGCCCCGGCUAACUACGUGCCAGCAGCCGC